AAUUUUGGACAAUAGGCGCAAGCCUGAUCCAGCCAUACCUCGUGAGUGAAGAAGGCCUUCGGGUUGUAAAGCUCUUUCGGACCGAAAGAAAUCGCGCAGGCUAAUACCCUGCCCUGAGGACGGUACCGUCAUACAUAGCACCGGGUAACUAGGUGCCAGCAUCCGCGGUAAUACUGAGGGUGCGAGCGUUAAUCGGAAUUACUGGGCGUAAAGCGUGCGCAGGCGGUUGAUUAAGACAGGCGUGAAAUCCCCGGGCUUACCCUGGGAACUGCGCUUGUGACUGGUCAGAUAGAGUACGGCAGAGGAGGGUGGAAUUCCACGUGUAGCAGUGAAAUGCGUAGAGAUGUGGAGGAACACCGAUGGCGAAGGCAGCCACCUGGGCCGAUACUGACGCUCAUGCACGAAAGCGUGGGUAGCAAACAGG
rnacentral:rRNA from 1 species